AGGUGGAUUCCAUUCUGUUCAGUGAGUUUAAGGUGUGGAAGGAGGAACCCACACUGGAGAGGAGUUGCUGUUUCUUGGAAUGAAUCUACAGAGAGGACAUUUACCCGUGUCUCACAUUCUGCAAGAGUGAGAUCACCUCCAUCUGCAACUUCUUCACCUACAUUCACUACAUCCACCAAGGACUGGUCAAGCAGCAGGAUGCUGAACAGAUGUUCUGGGAGGUCAUGCAGCUGUGUAAGGAGAUGUCCUGUGCUAAACUGGACUACUACAGAGAUGAACUGUGAACACUGAGCAAGGAGACCGUGUGUGAAAGAAACAUGCUCAGUGCAGGAGAGGGGGGUUCUGCAGUUCACCAAGACACAUCACAGGGACCAGGUCUUUCCUCACACCUCAACACUCCAGCACUGUGUGUGUGUGUGUGUGUGUGUGUGUACUGAGAUGAAAUCACUGAAAAGGGAAGAAAAAGGUGUUGGUCUACUGAUCAGAAGGUUGUGAGUUUGAAUCCCAGCUCCACCAAGCUGCCACUGCUGGGCCCCUGAGCAAGGCCCUCAACCCUCAAUUACUCAGCUGUAUAAAAUGAGAUAAAAUGUAAGUCACUGUGGAUAAGGACAUCUGCCAAAUGCCAGAAACGUAAAUGUAAAUGUCUGAUAGCUGCCUCUUGUCUCCUCAGUUCUGGUCAAACCCAUUAAAGUGUCACACUUAUUCAUAACACAUGUCACUAAGACCUAUUAUAAACAUAUUCUGUCUAAUUUAACUCGUACACCUGAAUGAAAUAAAACCUCAUAAACCUUCUGAUACUAAUUAUACUAUUUUCCUUCCACCAUCACACUCUGUAGCCACUGCUGAAUAUGGUUCCUGUAUUUAUGUCUGGUGUAAAUGGAGUACACAGAUAUAUAUUUUUCACAGACCAGUAGUGUCUCAGGUGCCUGAUGCCACUGAUUUAUAAUUCAGUAAUUCAGCAGAAAUUUGUUGCCAAAUCAGUUCAC